ensembl:lncRNA
CAUGCUGGUACAUUCUACAACCUCAAAACAAACACUCUUUUGGGGUAUUUUGACUCACACUAAAUCAGUUUUGAUACUUCAAGGCCAACAACAUCUCGGAAGUGGGCGGAUAAUGAGGGGAAGCGAGGACGGCCGCGAGGAGAAGCUGCUGAGCGAGCAAACGGCGGUCCUGAGGUCUAAAACCCAGAAGCAAACACUAAGCGUUGAGCACAGUGAGUUUGGUGGAGGCAACAAUCUGGUUGGAAAGCCGCAGCAGUCUGGUGCAUGCCGUAUGGACGGUAAAGGCCGCCUUGCCGCGUCAAUAUCUGACACCAAGGGGAGGGAAGAAGCGGCGGCAUUUAACGCCCUUAGAACGAGAACGGGCUGCAGAUUCGGUUACAUGGAAGCCAAGAAGAGUUACAGCUUCAGAAAGCUUCCCAAUCACAAUUGCGUGGCCAAGGAUCUUGUCUCCUCUGGCACACGGUGGGAACAAGGUGUUUCUCUGGCAAUUCCAAAUGAGCAACACUGGGACCAGGAAUAAUGGACGCGCAGCAGCACGGUCAGGUCUAAUUAAUGCAACCUCGCCACCGUUGAAUCCUG